GAGUUUGAUCGUGGCUCAGAUUGAACGCUGGCGGCAGGCUUAACACAUGCAAGUCGAGCGGGGGAGAUUGCUUCGGUAAUUGACCUAGCGGCGGACGGGUGAGUAAUACUUAGGAAUCUGCCUAUUAAUGGGGGACAACAUCUCGAAAGGGAUGCUAAUACCGCAUACGCCCUACGGGGAAAGCAGGGGAUCACUUGUGACCUUGCGUUAAUAGAUGAGCCUAAGUCGGAUUAGCUAGUUGGUGGGGUAAAGGCCUACCAAGGCGACGAUCUGUAGCGGGUCUGAGAGGAUGAUCCGCCACACUGGGACUGAGACACGGCCCAGACUCCUACGGGAGGCAGCAGUGGGGAAUAUUGGACAAUGGGGGGAACCCUGAUCCAGCCACGCCGCGUGUGUGAGAAGGCCUUAUGGUUGUAAAGCACUUUAGCGAGGAGGAGGCGUCCUGUAGUUAAUACCUACAGAGAGUGGACGUUACU
rnacentral:rRNA from 1 species